UACGUAGGUGGCAAGCGUUGUCCGGAUUUACUGGGCGUAAAGAGCGCGCAGGCGGUCGUUCAAGUCGCGUGUGAAAGCCCCCGGCUCAACUGGGGAGGGUCACGCGAUACUGAUCGACUCGAAGGCAGGAGAGGGUAGUGGAAUUCCCGGUGUAGUGGUGAAAUGCGUAGAUAUCGAGAGGAACACCGGUGGCGAAGGCGAGUCCCUGGACAAUUCCUGACACUGAGGCACGAAAGCUAGGGGAGCAAACAGG
rnacentral:rRNA from 1 species